GGGAAACUACUAGGAUUGAGAUAGAGAGAGGUGAAUGGAGUUNUNNGNGGAGUGGUGAAAUACGUUGAUAUNGAGAGGNAACACCCAGUGGCGANGGCGAUUCACUGGCUNUAUUCUGACGNUAAGGCUNGAAAGCGUGGGUAGCAAAACGGAUUAGAUACCCCGUGUAGUCCACGCCGUAAACGAUGGAUACUAGGUGUUGGUCACAAUUAUCUUUUCUNUUCGGAGAAUUGACGAGAGUGAUUAGUGCCACAGCUAACGCGUUAAGUAUCCCGCCUGGGAAGUACGGCCGCAAGGCUAAAACUCAAAUGAAUUGGCGGGCUCCCGCACAAGUAGAGGAGCGCGUGGUUUAAUUCGACAGUAAUCGAAGAACCUUACCAAGGCUUGACAUGUACCUGCAUACACCUAGAAAUAGGAGUAGCCUUCGAGGGUGGUACACAGGUGCUGCAUGGCCGUCGUCAGCUCGUGUCGUGAGAUGUAGGGUUAAGUCCCGUAACGAGCGCAACCCCUAUCCUAUGUUAUAAGUGUCUUAGGAAACUGCCUCGGUAAAACGGGGAGGAAGGUGGGGAUGACGUCUGGUCCGCAUGGCCCUUAUGCCUUGGGCGACACACGCGCUACAAUGGCUGGUACAACGGGUUGCCAAAUCGUAAGAUGGAGCUAAUCCCAAAAAACCGGUCUCAGUUCGGAUUGAGGUCUGCAACUCGACCUCAUGAAGUUGGAUUUACUAGUAAUCGCAGAUCAGCCAUGCUGCGGUGAAUACGUUCUCGGGAGUUGCACACACCGCCCG
rnacentral:rRNA from 1 species